AUACGUAGGGGGCGAGCGUUGUCCGGAAUGAUUGGGCGUAAAGGGAGCGCAGUCGGCCCGGUAAGUCUGGUGUGAAAGCCCUGGUUUUAAGAGAGGAAUUGCUUCGGAUACUGUCGGGCUUGAGUGCAGGAGAGGAGAGUGGAAUUCCCAGUGUAGCGGGGAAAUGCGUAGAGAUUGGGAAGAACACCAGUGGCGAAGGCGACUUACUGGACUGUAACUGACGCUGAGGCGCGAAAGUGUGGGGAGCAAACAGGAUUAGAUACCCUGGUAGUCCACACUGUAAACGAUGAAUGCUAGGUGUAGGGGGUAUCGACCCCUUCUGUGCCGCAGUCAACACAAUAAGCAUUCCGCCUGGGGAGUACGGCCGCAAGGUUGAAACUCAAAUGAAUUGACGGGG
rnacentral:rRNA from 1 species